rnacentral:rRNA from 1 species
GUAGGGAAUAUUGGACAAUGGGGGCAACCCUGAUCCAGCGACGCCGCGUGAGUGAUGAAGGCCUUCGGGUCGUAAAGCUCUGUUGCAGGGGAAGAACACAAUGACGGUACCCUGCUAGAAAGGAUCGGCUAACUUCGUGCCAGCAGCCGCGGUAAGACGAGGGAUCCUAGCGUUGUUCGGAAUUAUUGGGCGUAAAGCGGGUGCAGGUGGCUUGGUAAGUCAGAUGUGAAAGCCUGGGGCUUAACCCGAGAAGUGCAGUGGAUACUGCUGAGCUUGAGUGCUGGAGAGGCUAUUAGAAUUCCGGGUGUAGUGGUGAAAUACGUAGAUAUCAGGAGGAAUACCGGAGGCGAAGGCGGAUAGCUGGCCAGACACUGACACUCAGACCCGAAAGCGUGGGGAUCAAACAGGAUUAGAUACCCGAGUAGUCC